rnacentral:lncRNA from 1 species
CUCGCGGGUAUAAGAUUUUUAGAAAAAAAUUAACAGUUAAUUUUCAUUACAAAUUUUAUAAAUUACACUAAGUAGUUGUUUCUUUAUCAUAUGGCACAAAAAUCAUUCCAAAAAAUCAAUUCGUGUUGGCCCCAGCUGACUUUUAAAAUGUAGAUUUCAUUGAAAAAGCUCGAAAUUAUCUCCCUUUGGUGCAAAAAUGCUAUUUUUUGGCAUUAAAAUUGAAAUAUCUAUUUUUACUCAUCGGUGACCUAUAUUUUUUAUUACUGUUUUCAAAUAAGCUAUACAUAAACUAAAUAAUUGUAAAAUUUAAGCGAUUUCUGUAAUUAGGUUCUUUUUUUUAUUUCGAUAUUACCUCUUUUUCUCCUAUUAGUUCAACAGAAAAAAAGUACCUUUACAAAAAUGUAAGUUUCUUUCAAAGGCAGAUUGUGAGCGUAAAUGAUCGGUGACCCCUCUUUUUUAUUUUAUUUUUUUAUUAGGUAUAAGAUAAAGUUCAUUUAUAGAAAAAAAUAGCGAAAUCUUAUAUUAAAUAAAAAAAAAAUGAUUUAGACCCGCGAGCCCCC